rnacentral:rRNA from 1 species
UCUCCCCGAAAGCUAUUUAGGUAGCGCCUCGUGAAUUCAUCUCCGGGGGUAGAGCACUGUUUCGGCUAGGGGGCCAUCCCGGCUUACCAACCCGAUGCAAACUGCGAAUACCGGAGAAUGUUAUCACGGGAGACACACGGCGGGUGCUAACGUCCGUCGUGAAGAGGGAAACAACCCAGACCGCCAGCUAAGGUCCCAAAGUCAUGGUUAAGUGGGAAACGAUGUGGGAAGGCCCAGACAGCCAGGAUGUUGGCUUAGAAGCAGCCAUCAUUUAAAGAAAGCGUAAUAGCUCACUGGUCGAGUCGGCCUGCGCGGAAGAUGUAACGGGGCUAAACCAUGCACCGAAGCUGCGGCAGCGACACUGUGUGUUGUUGGGUAGGGGAGCGUUCUGUAAGCCUGUGAAGGUGUGUCGUGAGGCAUGCUGGAGGUAUCAGAAGUGCGAAUGCUGACAUAAGUAACGAUAAAGCGGGUGAAAAGCCCGCUCGCCGGAAGACCAAGGGUUCCUGUCCAACGUUAAUCGGGGCAGGGUGAGUCGACCCCUAAGGCGAGGCCGAAAGGCGUAGUCGAUGGGAAACGGGUUAAUAUUCCCGUACUUGGUGUUACUGCGAAGGGGGGACGGAGAAGGCUAUGUUGGCCGGGCGACGGUUGUCCCGGUUUAAGCGUGUAGGUGUGUGUUCCAGGUAAAUCCGGUUCACUUUAACACUGAG